ACAUAUCUUGGUUACAGGCUCCUCCCAAGCCUGGGCUUUGGUCUGGGCACAUGCAAAAGGAAACCAAUCAAUAUGUUUCUCUCACAUCGAUAUUUCUCUCUGUCUUUCCU